GUACCGCUGAAAAAAACGGAAACAGCACGAAGAAAAAGAACUCGCCAUAAAUAGCAAGCUGCGUUUUUUUCCACAGGGCCAGUUUUGUGUCUUGUCCCGCGUUUGACUUUGACCACUAAAAUCGGACACGUCGGACACCAGUUACGAUCUGAAACUGGAUCGCGUAUAUGCCACUAUUUAUAUUUGCUUGGCUGUUAUAUUCCAAGAAGCAUUGUAGGUCAACCAAAAACAGCACGGUGGGCAAAAACAAACGCGUUAAAGGAAAAACAAUCAAUGACCUCUUGUUCGUGAUUUUUCAUUGGCAAGGUAUGUGGAAAUGAAAUACGCCUACUGGAUUUCAGCACGUUUAAAUACGUUUUUAUAUUUUAUACAUGAUUUUCCCACUGCAUUCCCCAGCUUUUAAAAAUAAUUCGAAUAUGUACUCAAUGAGAUUUUAAAUCAGAACAUACUAUAUCAUGCAUAACUACUUCCUCCAAUAUCAACGAGAAGGCCUGUACAGAGAAGACAGUCCUGCUUUGAUUUGGACCAAAAGGAGUGUAAUCAGACGAAUUAAAAUGUGAAAAUGAAGAACCACUUAUCUAAAUUGUAUGAAAUGUAUAUUGGUUAUUUGUGCCAAAAGCCAUUUUAAAAUCGUUUGAGGACAAUGACUUAAUGGUCACUUGUUAUAAAGGCUGACAGUAUUUCAGGACAGUAUAAAAGAUCUUAAUGAUAUGCUCAUCUUUGUACAUUUCAACAAAACACACUGACUUAUGACCAAAGAAAACAAACCUACCCCCUACAAGGAGUUUUAAUUGACAAAGCUUAAAGUUAAAUUCUUUCUGGUAUGUUCUGAUGGCUUUUUUCAAAAUGAAAGAUGGUGGUUCAAUGUGGGCUCGGAAAGGAAAAGAGAAAUAAAACAAUGUAUUACGUCAUCACUUACAGGACACCAAGACUAGCACUCAAAUAUGCAGCAAAUCCUUUUUUACCAGCUAUUUAUUUUCAUUACUUGAGAGCAUUAAGGUUAUAAUCCAAACAAGUUCUGUUAGGAAAUGAAUUAUCAAAAUGUAGUUUAAAAAAAGUGUAUAGUCAGCAGUACAUAUAUAUGCAUGAAAGAGGGAAAACAAAAAGGUUAAACUUACAUAAUUCUUAUAUUCGUUCAGUCAAUCCUUCCCAAAUUAACGCACUUAGUUUUGUUAUAUACUUUAGACUUUUUUUCCACCCUAUUUUUAGGUUAUAGGAACAUAUAUAUAUAUACACACACACACAAUCUUCCUGUGCUCUAGUCAUAUCACUUUUCCUUACAACUUCACUUUCACUCCAAAUACAUGGACUUACUAGCACCAGAGGUCCCUGGUAUUAUAGGUUCAAGGAGCUUGAAAUAGUCAAAUGCAAUUAAAUAAAAAGAAGAUACUAAUAAAUAGAAGGGAUACCAUAAGGAUGUAACAAAAAUGUUAAAAUAAGAUUGCCUAAGUGAUUGUAAUUUUCACAAAACCAUCCCUUAAAAGUGUGAGGUUAAUAGCAUGAGACUGAGGCACAUCCAAUCUUGACAUGUGAAGGGGGAUUUUGGAGGGAGGGGAUCGUCACGAUGUCACAUAAGGAGGGUCGAACAAUACAGUGAUAUCUUUACACUCAUCGAACUGCAAUCAAAAACACACAUUAUUACAGGUCCCUGUCUAUUGUACAAGGGAAAGUAAGUCUUAAAAGCAUAAACAAAUAAUGGAGACCCCCCCCUCAAAAAAAUGGCGAUUACAGUCACUAUAACAAGUGUUCUUUAGGAGUCCUGUCAUCCUCGACUCCGUGUCAUAAGGAAUUCAUGGGUCGAGAGAGAGAGCAAAAGAGCAAUAGAAAGAGAGACAGACAGACAGAAAGAGGUGUCUGGAACAGCUCCUACAACAGGGAAGUCCUAAAACUAGCGUUUUCGGUUACAAGGGUUAAUAUAAAUAAAAUGCAUACUACAGUGAUCUUUUAUAAAAGUCUUCCUGUAAAUAAUACAGUCAGAAGUACGAUACAAUACAAGGUAAACCAAAUGCCAGUACAAGCCUAUUAAUAUACAUUUUCCCCUGUUUUUCUUUUUCUUUCUUUUUUUCUUCAAAGCACAACCUAUUGUUUCUAUACACUAGCUAGUUAAUGCGCAGUGUUUGAAAAUAAGGGUUCUGAGCAACAUCUUGAA